rnacentral:rRNA from 1 species
UACGUAGGGGGCUAGCGUUGUCCGGAUUUAUUGGGCGUAAAGAGCGUGUAGGCGGCCAGAUAGGUCUGUUGUGAAAACUCGAGGCUCAACCUCGAGACGCCGAUGGAAACCAUUUGGCUAGAGUCCGGAAGAGGAGAGUGGAAUUCCUGGUGUAGCGGUGAAAUGCGCAGAUAUCAGGAAGAACACCCGUGGCUAAGGCGGCUCUCUAGUACGGUACUGACGCUGAGACGCG